AGUGAACGCUGGCGGUAGGCCUAACACAUGCAAGUCGAACGGCAGCACAGUAAGAGCUUGCUCUUACGGGUGGCGAGUGGCGGACGGGUGAGGAAUACAUCGGAAUCUACUUUUUCGUGGGGGAUAACGUAGGGAAACUUACGCUAAUACCGCAUACGACCUACGGGUGAAAGCAGGGGAUCUUCGGACCUUGCGCGAUUGAAUGAGCCGAUGUCGGAUUAGCUAGUUGGCGGGGUAAAGGCCCACCAAGGCGACGAUCCGUAGCUGGUCUGAGAGGAUGAUGAGCCACACUGGAGCUGAGAGACGGUCCGGACUCCUAGGGGAGGCAGCAGUGGGGAAGAUUGGACACAGGGCGCAAGCCUGAUCCAGCCAUACCGCGUGGGUGAAGAAGGCCUUCGGGUUGUAAAGCCCUUUUGUUGGGAAAGAAAAGCAGCAGGUUAAGACCCCGCUGUUCUGACGGUACCCAAAGAAUAAGCACCGGCUAACUUCGU
rnacentral:rRNA from 1 species